UACGUAGGUGGCAAGCGUUGUCCGGAUUUAUUGGGUUUAAAGGGUGCGUAGGCGGCCUUAUAAGUCAGUGCUGAAAUAUCCCGGCUUAACCGGGAGGGUGGCAUUGAUACUGUAGGGCUUGAGUAAAGUUGAGGUUGGCGGAAUUGACGGUGUAGCGGUGAAAUGCAUAGAUACUACCAGGAACACCGAUUGCGAAGGCAGCUUACUGGAGAGUAACUGACGCUGAGGCACGAAAGCGUGGGGAUCAAACAGG
rnacentral:rRNA from 1 species